rnacentral:rRNA from 1 species
UUGAACGCUGGCGGCAGGCCUAACACAUGCAAGUCGAACGGUAACAGGAAGCAGCUUGCUGCUUUGCUGACGAGUGGCGGACGGGUGAGUAAUGUCUGGGAAACUGCCUGAUGGAGGGGGAUAACUACUGGAAACGGUAGCUAAUACCGCAUAACGUCGCAAGACCAAAGAGGGGGACCUUAGGGCCUCUUGCCAUCGGAUGUGCCCAGAUGGGAUUAGCUAGUAGGUGGGGUAACGGCUCACCUAGGCGACGAUCCCUAGCUGGUCUGAGAGGAUGACCAGCCACACUGGAACUGAGACACGGUCCAGACUCCUACGGGAGGCAGCAGUGGGGAAUAUUGCACAAUGGGCGCAAGCCUGAUGCAGCCAUGCCGCGUGUAUGAAGAAGGCCUUCGGGUUGUAAAGUACUUUCAGCGGGGAGGAAGGGAGUAAAGUUAAUACCUUUGCUCAUUGACGUUACCCGCAGAAGAAGCACCGGCUAACUCCGUGCCAGCAGCCGCGGUAAUACGGAGGGUGCAAGCGUUAAUCGGAAUUACUGGGCGUAAAGCGCACGCAGGCGGUUUGUUAAGUCAGAUGUGAAAUCCCCGGGCUCAACCUGGGAACUGCAUCUGAUACUGGCAAGCUUGAGUCUCGUAGAGGGGGGUAGAAUUCCAGGUGUAGAGGUGAAAUGCGUAGAGAUCUGGAGGAAUACCGGUGGCGAAGGCGGCCCCCUGGACGAAGACUGACGCUCAGGUGCGAAAGCGUGGGGAGCAAACAGGAUUAGAUACCCUGGUAGUCCACGCCGUAAACGAUGUCGACUUGGAGGUUGUGCCCUUGAGGCGUGGCUUCCGGAGCUAACGCGUUAAGUCGACCGCCUGGGGAGUACGGCCGCAAGGUUAAAACUCAAAUGAAUUGACGGGGGCCCGCACAAGCGGUGGAGCAUGUGGUUUAAUUCGAUGCAACGCGAAGAACCUUACCUGGUCUUGACAUCCACGGAAGUUUUCAGAGAUGAGAAUGUGCCUUCGGGAACCGUGAGACAGGUGCUGCAUGGCUGUCGUCAGCUCGUGUUGUGAAAUGUUGGGUUAAGUCCCGCAACGAGCGCAACCCUUAUCCUUUGUUGCCAGCGGUCCGGCCGGGAACUCAAAGGAGACUGCCAGUGAUAAACUGGAGGAAGGUGGGGAUGACGUCAAGUCAUCAUGGCCCUUACGACCAGGGCUACACACGUGCUACAAUGGCGCAUACAAAGAGAAGCGACCUCGCGAGAGCAAGCGGACCUCAUAAAGUGCGUCGUAGUCCGGAUUGGAGUCUGCAACUCGACUCCAUGAAGUCGGAAUCGCUAGUAAUCGUGGAUCAGAAUGCCACGGUGAAUACGUUCCCGGGCCUUGUACACACCGCCCGUCACACCAUGGGAGUGGGUUGCAAAAGAAGUAGGUAGCUUAACCUUCGGGAGGGCGCUUACCACUUUGUGAUUCAUGACUGGGGUG